CAAGCAACAAGAUUUUGCUCCCCUGUAGCUUUCGAACUGUCGAUUGCCUUUCGGCCUGUAAUGAUUUCCAGAAGAACAACCCCAAAACUAUAAACAUCUGAUUUGAUAGUCAGCUGACCUGUCAUUGCAUAUUCUGGGGCACAGUAUCCAUAGGUGCCCAUGACCCUAGUGGAUACAUGGGUGUGAUCUCCAACAGGCCCAAGUUUAGCCAAGCCAAAAUCAGAGAGCUUAGGAUGAUAGCCCUCACCAAGCAAAAUGUUGGAGCACUUUAAAUCUCGAUAUAUAACAGGGGGACUAGCUUUAUCAUGUAAAUACUCCAAUCCUUUCGCUGCACCAGCUGCUAUUUUCAUUCUUGUGUUCCAAUCAAG
rnacentral:misc_RNA from 1 species